GAGAGUUUCAGUGUUGCUACCAGCUCCCUCUGCUCUCCUGCAGUGACAAUGUUCUCAACACAGCAUCCUUCAGAAAUUGAAAAGAAGUUGAAUGUUGUGUGGGAUGUGGCAGCAAAACAGGAGACAGAGACAGUUGAAGAAGAAGUUUAUUGAAUCACAGAACCAUACAAUGGUUUAGGUUGGAAAGAAGCUCAAAGAUCAGCCAAUUCCAACCCCCUGCCACAGGCAGGUUUUCCACCCACGGACUCACGCUGCUCAGGGCCCCAUCCAACCUGGUCUUGAGUGCCUCCACCACUCAGCUUGAUGUCAUCAACAAACUUGCUGCUUGUACACUCAAUCCCACUAUCUAGGUCAUUGAUAAAGAUGUUGAAAAGUAGUGGUCCCAAGACUGACCCUUCAGGGACACCACUCAUGACCACCUGGACGUAGAGCCAUUGACAACAAUCCUCUGACUGCUAUCAUUCAUAGAAUCAUAGAACCAUAGAUUGGGCUGGGUUGAAAAGGACCACAAUUAUCAUCGAGUUUCAACCCCCCUGCUAUGUGCAGGAUUGCUAACCACCAGAUCAGGCUGCCCAGAGCCACAUCCAGCCUGGCCUUGAAUGAAUAGUCUAGCCUUCAAAUCUGUAUCUCUCCAGUUUAGAGAUAAUAGUUAUAGAGAACAUGGAUUUAAAUCCAUUUGACUCCUUUUAAACCAUGCUUGCUGUCUGCAGAAUGUUGUUCUACGAGUCUCUGCAAAUGCAUUUCCUGGCAUGUUUGACACAGAUCAGAAAUAUCUUGACUUCUGGCUGCAGUGUCAUGACCUUCUGGAAGUUCGAUCUGCUGUUUAUGGCUUUUGAGCUGUAGUCCAAACAGGAUUGUGAAGGAAGGAACUGGCCAGAAAACAGCUUCUUGGAUUUUAUUUAUGGAGAAAGCCAAUUCUAGAGUGUGGAACUGCCAAGACCAGCAGGAAAAUUCACAGCUGUUGAUGAGAGCAGGAAGGGAUCUUUUAUCUCCAGGAGGUACUUCUAGGAAUGAUAUACAAAAAGUUUUAUGUGCUUUUUUGAUUCUUUCCCUGGAAAUGAUGUCAAAGAAUCUCAGAAUGUCUUAA
rnacentral:lncRNA from 1 species